UACGAACUGUGCAAACGUUAUUCGGAUUCACUGGGCUUAAAGGGUGCGUAGGCUGCGCAGCAAGUUGGGUGUGAAAUCCCUCGGCUUAACCGAGGAACUGCGCCCAAAACUGCUGUGCCCGAGGGAGAUAGAGGUGAGCGGAACUUAGGGUGGAGCGGUGAAAUGCGUUGAUAUCCUAAGGAACACCGGUGGCGAAAGCGGCUCACUGGAUCUCUUCUGACGCUGAGGCACGAAAGCUAGGGUAGCGAACGGG
rnacentral:rRNA from 1 species